UAGAAGCAGCCAUCAUUUAAAGAAAGCGUAAUAGCUCACUGGUCGAGUCGGCCUGCGCGGAAGAUGUAACGGGGCUAAACCAUGCACCGAAGCUGCGGCAGCGACGUUUAUGCGUUGUUGGGUAGGGGAGCGUUCUGUAAGCCUGCGAAGGUGGCCUGUGAGGGUUGCUGGAGGUAUCAGAAGUGCGAAUGCUGACAUAAGUAACGAUAAAGCGGGUGAAAAGCCCGCUCGCCGGAAGACCAAGGGUUCCUGUCCAACGUUAAUCGGGGCAGGGUGAGUCGACCCCUAAGGCGAGGCCGAAAGGCGUAGUCGAUGGGAAACGGGUUAAUAUUCCCGUACUUGGUGUUACUGCGAAGGGGGGACGGAGAAGGCUAUGUUGGCCGGGCGACGGUUGUCCCGGUUUAAGCGUGUAGGCUGGUUUUCCAGGCAAAUCCGGAAAAUCAAGGCUGAGGCGUGACGACGAGGCACUACGGUGCUGAAGCAACAAAUGCCCUGCUUCCAGGAAAAGCCUCUAAGCAUCAGGUAACAUCAAAUCGUACCCCAAACCGACACAGGUGGUCAGGUAGAGAAUACCAAGGCGCUUGAGAGAACUCGGGUGAAGGAACUAGGCAAAAUGGUGCCGUAACUUCGGGAGAAGGCACGCUGACACGUAGGUGAAGUGAUUUACUCAUGGAGCUGAAGUCAGUCGAAGAUACCAGCUGGCUGCAACUGUUUAUUAAAAACACAGCACUGUGCAAACACGAAAGUGGACGUAUACGGUGUGACGCCUGCCCGGUGCCGGAAGGUUAAUUGAUGGGGUCAGCGCAAGCGAAGCUCCUGAUCGAAGCCCCGGUAAACGGCGGCCGUAACUAUAACGGUCCUAAGGUAGCGAAAUUCCUUGUCGGGUAAGUUCCGACCUGCACGAAUGGCGUAAUGAUGGCCAGGCUGUCUCCACCCGAGACUCAGUGAAAUUGAACUCGCUGUGAAGAUGCAGUGUACCCGCGGCAAGACGGAAAGACCCCGUGAACCUUUACUAUAGCUUGACACUGAACAUUGAGCCUUGAUGUGUAG
rnacentral:rRNA from 1 species